CACUUGGUGCCGUUGGAGGAUGCGUUGUAUGGUCGACAGGCUUACAGCACUGAUGUUGUUGAAUAGGGUGUCAUUAUUCAAGAUAUGCUCUCUUAUCUCUCGAAUCCUAAUUGCAUUGUUGGGCAAAACCAUAUUUAUAAUUGCAGUCUCUUGUACAUCUGUAAACAAGCGUCCUCGUCCUCGAUGUUGUCUUUGCCUUUCCACUCUGUACAGAAUUCAAACACAGUGUGUGUUCAGCACAGGAACUGUAAACCAUUUACAAAAAAAUGUAAUACAGCAUGAUAACCAACCAUAUUCAUUCAAUGCAGUGCAGUAAAUGGAUGGCUUAGAGUUACAUAUGUUUAUGCAAUACUAUGCAGUCAUACGUAUUUUACAGUACAUUACUAUAAUGCUAAAAUAGUCAUUAGAUAGUUGCAUACCUGUUCUCAUUUCUGAAAGUUCGAAUUACGGACGCCACUGUAAAUCGACUCAAUCUCUCAUGGUCAAAACGUGGUUGAUUACAUGAUCAACAAGUGUUGCCCUAAUCUCAUCAGAGAUGGCUCUCCUUCCUUCUCUUAUUUGCCAUCGUCCUCUUCUUCCUCUUCCUCUUCCCCUUCCUCCUGCUUCUCUUGGUAUUUGUCCUCGUUGUCCCCUGCCUCUUCCUCCUACUCCUCUUGCUCUCUGUUCAUUGUUAGCAUCCAUUGUUCAAAACGGGUAAUCUUUGACCUAUUUAUAGGCCUAUCUAUACUACUGUAAAGUACAGCAGUGAUUGGUUAGUGAUCAGUUAAGCAAUUAGUGUUUGCACAUGUGAGGAGUGUCUGUGUGACCUGGUGAAUAAGUGUAGCAUUUUGAUUGGUUGUGUUUGGAAAAGGAAAGCAAGUCACUUCCUGAUAGAUCUUUGUGUUUUAGGUAGAGAAUUGUGUGUAGUGUUUUGAAAAAAGUGUUUUAUGCAAUUGAUAACUGAGUCAAAGGCUGAGAAAUAGCUUAUGGUUUUGAAGAUUUGGCAUGUAGUUUUGCACUUUGAGUGAGAGGUUUCAAAAAUCGUGUGACAUGAAAAGAUUUUGUGUGUAAGCAGUUGGUAAAAACUGUAUUAUAUCUGCAUGCAAAAAUAUGCAAAGGUUUAACCUUUGGCCAACACAGACUUUGCAUGAAAAAUAAUAAAUUCUAAAUGAAUUCAUGUCUGUAACUUGCAGGUGAGACCUUCAUUAUUUCUGAAUAUGUACAGCACAGGAAAUGAGACCGUGACAGAUGUGUGAAAAACCCCUCGCUGUCUGAUAUGUAAACAGAUUCAGGUUUUGAUAGGAACAACAAUACUGAAGGAAGCCGCAGAUCUCUGAGCAGCUCCGAGACAGAGAUAUGCUUUUCCAUGAUGUCAUAUUUGCUGCUGUCUUCUUUGCUUUUUACUCCUCAGGAAAGGCUCACACUCAAAACUGGGUAAAGCAGUGGCCAGGUGAAGUGUACAGCACACCCGGAGAAAACAUCACCAUACACUGCCAGACUCAAGGAGACAUUCAGGAAGCUAAGUGUUUAGUAAACUGGUACAUCAAGAACAGACAUGGGAAAUAUGUCAGCAUCAACAAACUCACUCAGUUUAGCGGGAGACAUUCUGAAGACAAAAAAGAAAGCCACUGGCGCCAGAGCUUUACCCUGACAUCCCUAGAGCUCAAUGACACUGGCAGAUUCUACUGUAAUUACUUGUGCAGAAUUAAUGGCACACAUGAGCAGUACUAUGGGACUGGGACUCGACUGUUUGUACAUUUUAGGACUGAGAAUGUGACUAAGGGCAGCCCACUGUGUACCUUCAAUAAGACAGGUGAAGUGGAGGGUGAAUCCAGAGUAUACUUGUUUUUCCUAUUUCUUGUUUUAAUUGUUUUAUUGUCUAAAGUUGUUGUAUUUAUAUUUAUGACUUUGGUUGCACUUUUUUCUCCUCAUUAAAUCUAACUCCUGUUUCCUUUA